rnacentral:rRNA from 1 species
CCCGGCAUCGAUUCCGACGCUUUGAGGUAGGACGAGCAGAGUAUAUCGCUCUGUCUAAUCUUACGAGUCGUGGGGAGUGUCGUAAUGACGAGAACUAGGCGAAAUCGGGAAUAGCCACCCGUUUUAGGGAGGUUCAGCUGAUCUCUGGAGCCACUGAAAAACACACUAAGAAGGAUCCUUCAUGAUCGUACCUAGAACCGACACAGGUGUCCCUAGGCUAGAAACCUAAGGCGUUUCGGGCAUACAGUAAUGCGCGGGAACUCGGCACAUUAGCCCCGUACCUUUGGUAUAAGGGGUGCCAGCCGCGCGAGCGGCUGGUCGCAGUGACAAGGGAGCCCCGACUGUUUAACCAAAACACAGGUGGCCGCCAGAUCGAAAGGUUGUGUACGGCCGCUGAAGCCUGCCCAGUGCUGGUAUCUGAAAGCUCGUUUCAACGGGACGAAGGACCAGUAAACGGCGGGGGUAACUAUGACCCUCUUAAGGUGAAACGUCGCCUUAACAAAAACCGGCCAUAUGCGGGGAACUCCGAGGAUCCGUGCGUACCGCGACUGCGGUAACAAUCGCACGGUGCGGACAAUCCGCAGGGAAGGCCGAUCCCGGAAACGGGGUCGGAACCCUCAGAGACUUUACGCCGAUCACCGCGGAAGCGGUGAAGAUAAAGUCCGACCCCCAUGGCGACAUGGGGAGGCCGCGAGAAAUCGCGACCCGCCUAUUCCCUCGAUGUGAACACGAACGUGUACGCGCGAGGGAGAGGUCUCGAAAGCAACAGAUGUGAGCGUAAUACCUUGUCGCUUAAUUGGCGACUUGCAUGAAGGCCCAACGAGAGCUCUCCUGUCCCCGCGUGGAGGCCGGUGAAACUGACGUACUGGCGCACAGUCCAGUACCUUCCACCUGAAAGCGAAGACCCCGUGGAGCUUUACUGCAGUCUGUCGCUGCCGUAUGAGUUUGGAUGUGUAGCGUAGGCGGGACUCGUUACAAAGGGCCGACCGCUAGGGCGGCACCGAGAGGCCGAUGAAACACCGCCCUUCUGGAUUCGUACGGCUUACCCCUUCGGAGGGACAACGAUAGGUAGGCAGUUUGGGUGGGGCGCCACGCCCUCAAAAAGAUAACAAGGGCGCCCAAAGGUUGGCUUAGGAGGGUCAGAAAUCCUCCGUUAACUGUAAGGGGAAAAGCCAGCCUGACGUGGACUUGCCCAACGAGAGUCCACGAGAGGAAACUCGGGCCUAGCGAACCCAUGAGCCUGAUUUGUGCGGGCCAUGGAUGACAGAAAAGUUACCCCGGGGAUAACUGAGUCGUCUCCGGCUAGAGUUCCUAUCGACCCGGAGGCUUGCUACUUCGACGUCGGCUCUUCCUAUCCUGGUGGUGCAUGAGCUGCCAAGGGUGGGGUUGUUCGCCCAUUAAAAGGGAUCGUGAGCUGGGUUCAGACCGUCGUGAGACAGGUUUGUUGCUUUUUGGUGGAAGCGCUUUGAUGCCUGAGGGGAAGGUCCCUUAAGUACGAGAGGAACGGGGGAUCGGCGCCUCUAGUGUAUGGGUUGUCUGGCAAGGCAUUGCCCAGCAGCCACGCGCCAUGCGGAUAACGGCUGAAAGCAUCUAAGCCGGAAACCGUCCUCAAGACGAGGCAUCUUACGGCCGCGGUAAUCGACCGCGUUGAUAGAGCGGGGGUGUACGCAGGAAGUUCGCAAGAGCGACCUGUUCAGCCCGCCGCCACUCAUCGCCGUAGCCACACUA